GUCACACAGGGAAAGUAUGUUACUUUAUUAAUAAAUUAACAACCAGUGACACUCAUCACUUUAAUAAGGCUAUACGUAGGAUAUUUCUUAAUGGUUGCAUUAUUUCAUCCUAAUUCUUCUAGCUUUGAUAGAUCACAAUGUGGAAGUUAUAAAAGGGCCUUCAUGUCACUUCCCAUACAAACUGAAUUAAAAGGCAAAAGAAAGUGACACAUCUAAAUAAAGGUGAUGACCUGUGGUUCUUGGAGGAGUUGAUUUCUGAGUAACUAACAAGUAUAUAGUGGAACAUCUGAAAGUUAAACUAGAUAAGAUAAGACUUCUACAUCAUCCUGUCCCAAUUUGGUGUUUUCCUCUCAAUGACGUGUCUGUGACCACAGUCAAUGUGACGCCGAUAUAAGCGACAGUAUUGAGGCUAUGCAGGAGAAUUGAACUCUUCUGCUGAACCUGAAACAGCUAACGCUAAAGUUCCUGCGAGACAGACAUGUGGACCGUUCUGAACCAGUAUACCGCUCUAUUUACACUGACGAUAGUGGCUCUGGUUCAUGGAGAGUUAGUGCACAACUGUACAAAGAACCAAACCCAUUGUGUCCAUCUUCUGAAGGAAAUACGGCAAUCUAUCAAGAAUGCAAUGAAUCAACCAGCAUUGGUAAGAAAAAGGAAAAAGACAUACUCUCAGAUUUCUUUUUAUUUUCUGGUCUGCUUAAUAAUUACCUUUUUUUCUUUAUUAUAAGAAUAAAACAUAUGUUACAACAAUAGGAGAAGGAAACAGAGUCAAAUGUGUGAAGCAUGUCUUCUGUUUGGCUGAGAAGAUUUUGGAGGAGGAAUCUUGUAAGAACAAGACAGUGAAGCAAAUACUGGGAAAGCUACCCGAGCUGUUAAAUAGAUACAACAACUGGACCAAUGAAGGACAAUGCCAGCUGCAAAAGGGUCAACCCCAAGAAACACUAAAACAAUUUCUUUGCGAACUGGACAAAUGUGCAUGCAGAGCCUUCAAGUGUCCCAAUUUAAGACGCUUAAAAGGCUGUCCUUAAGUUAUUAAUUGUGAUGUUUUAUUUAUUUAAUGUAUUCUUUAUAUUUAUUACCUGUUUGUCUUUUCAGUAAAGUACCUUUUAUGUUUUUAUACAUAAAUAAAUCAAAAUGUGAUGAUGAAAAUUUGAUGCAAAUCUGUUUCUAUUAUUACAACAAGCCAAACUGGGAUCUUUACUUUAAGAUGCGUCACUUAUGUAAACUUGGUGUGUGUUUUCAUAAAAAAGCUGUGUACUAUUCCAUCAAGAAAGCAACACGAAUCUGAGAUCAGGCAUGAAUAAUAAUUUAUUAAAUAAAAAACAGAUAUUAGUAAACAUGUGACAUACACUACAAUUAUAAUAAUAAUAAAAAAAAUCAAUUUCACAUUCACUAAAGAACACAUUUAGCAAAAGCUAU